rnacentral:rRNA from 1 species
GAUGAACGCUGGCGGCGUGCUUAACACAUGCAAGUCGAACGGUAAGGUCCCCUUCGGGGGAUACACGAGUGGCGAACGGGUGAGUAACACGUGGGCAACCUGCCCCUCACACUGGGAUAACCACGGGAAACUGUGGCUAAUACCGGAUACUCCGCGAGGAUCGCAUGGUCCUUUCGGGAAAGCUCCGGCGGUGAGGGAGGGGCCCGCGUCCCAUUAGCUUGUUGGUGAGGUAACGGCUCACCAAGGCUGCGAUGGGUAGCCGAGCUGAGAGGCUGAUCGGCCACACUGGGACUGAGACACGGCCCAGACUUCUACGGAAGGCAGCAGUGGGGAAUUUUGCACAAUGGGCGAAAGCCUGAUGCAGCAACGCCGCGUGCGGGAUGAAGGCUCUCGGGUCGUAAACCGCUUUCAGCAGGGACGAACGUGACGGUACCUGCAGAAGAAGCCCCGGCUAAAUACGUG